rnacentral:tRNA from 1 species
AGGGGAGGAGCUCGGUAGAACGCAUGCUUAGGAUGCAUGAGGUCCUGGGUUCAAACCCCGGCACCUCCA